GACAGAGGUGCCGAGCGUUGUUCGGAAUCACUGGGCUUAAAGGGCGCGUAGGCGGGCUGUCAAGUUUGGGGUGAAAUCCCGCGGCUCAACCGUGGAACUGCCUCAAAUACUGACGGUCUCGAGGGAGAUAGGGGCGAGCGGAACUAAUGGUGGAGCGGUGAAAUGCGUUGAUAUCAUUAGGAACUCCGGUGGCGAAGGCGGCUCGCUGGAUCUUUUCUGACGCUGAGGCGCGAAAGCUAGGGGAGCAAACGGG
rnacentral:rRNA from 1 species